UACGGGGGGAGCAAGCGUUGUUCGGAUUUACUGGGCGUAAAGGGCGCGUAGGCGGCCUCCGCAAGUCAGUUGUGAAAUCUCCGAGCUUAACUCGGAAAGGUCAACUGAUACUGCGGGGCUAGAGUGCGGAAGGGGCAACUGGAAUUCCUGGUGUAGCGGUGAAAUGCGCAGAUAUCAGGAGGAACACCGAUGGCGAAGGCAGGUCUCUGGGCAUUAACUGACGCUGAGGAGCGAAAGCAUGGGGAGCGAACAGG
rnacentral:rRNA from 1 species